rnacentral:rRNA from 1 species
GACGUAGGGGGCCAGCGUUGUUCGGAAUUACUGGGCGUAAAGGGCGCGUAGGCGGCCGCCUAAGUCAGACGUGAAAGCCCCCGGCUCAACCGGGGAAGGGGCCGCGAACUGGCGUUCUUGAGGGGGAGAGGGGAGAGCGGAAUUCCUGGUGUAGCGGUGAAAUGCGUAGAGAUCAGGAGGAACACCCAUGGCGAAGGCAUCUCUCUGGCUUCACCCUGACGCUGAGGCGCGAAAGCGUGGGGAGCGAACGGG